rnacentral:rRNA from 1 species
GAUGAACGCUGGCGGCGUGCCUAAUACAUGCAAGUCGAGCGAAUGGAUUAAGAGCUUGCUCUUAUGAAGUUAGCGGCGGACGGGUGAGUAACACGUGGGUAACCUGCCCAUAAGACUGGGAUAACUCCGGGAAACCGGGGCUAAUACCGGAUAAUAUUUUGAACUGCAUGGUUCAAAAUUGAAAGGCGGCUUCGGCUGUCACUUAUGGAUGGACCCGCGUCGCAUUAGCUAGUUGGCGAGGUAACGGCUCACCAAGGCAACGAUGCGUAGCCGGCCUGAGAGGGUGGUCGGCCAACCUGGGACUGAGACACGGCCCAGACUCCUACGGGAGGCAGCAGUAGGGAUUCUUCCGCAAUGGACGAAAGUCUGACGGAGCAACGCCGCGUGAGUGAUGAAGGCUUUCGGGUCGUAAAACUCUGUUGUUAGGGAAGAACAAGUGCUAGUUGAAUAAGCUGGCACCUUGACGGUACCUAACCAGAAAGCCACGGCUAACUACGUGCCAGCAGCCGCAGUAA